AUGGGCAUUUUAAAGUUACCGGAGAAACCGAAAGUUGUGUGUGGGUUCCAAGUUCCUACACAGCUCAAAAAUAUCCUUCCCUGCAGCACGCUCGUGCAGGCAGCGAGCGGCAUCCCCCAUGCGCGGGGAGCUGCUGGGAAAAGCGGCGUGGGGGUCCUGCCCUGCUGCCUCUGCCUCCUUGAAGCUCCAAAGCAAAGCCCGAAACCCGCAGCAGACCACGGCCAGAAAAGCACCCUGGGGAUGGGGAUCUCCCUGUGUGCACACCCGCUGCCUGCGGCACGAGGGCACCCGACUGCGCCGGCCACGGAGAGGCUGGGCUCCACCGUGGGCCCCGAAAGCAAAGGGGGAAGCUGCUGCCCUAUUUCCCAGCUGCUGGCACCCUACAACGGGAUGGGUCUCAGCCGGAUCCGUGGAGAGCACAUGGGGAAGGAGGGGAGCCACGGCUCCAGCCCAGAUCCUGUCCAAGCUGGUUUCCCCAGAAGUCUCCAUGGAAGACCAGAAAACAUCAUUCCCAAGAUAGUGAAAUACAAAGAACUGAAAAAGGAAGUGACUUUUAGCUGGCCUCUUCCAGGUGGAUCUUAAAUGGACAUCCAGUUUUAAAAUCUCACAAGCAGCUGAGAGAACACCACCUCGUGUCAGGCAAGCAGAAAGGAAAAUGGACUGUAGGUGACUUCCAAGGAGCUUCUUAGCAAGCAACAGGGAAGAUAAGACAUGACAUCCCUCAGAUAGCAACAAUGAACAUACAGGGCAUUUUUUUAAUUUUUAUUUUUAAAUGCUUUACGGCAUGUUUACGAAGAAAAAAAAAAAAAAGCAGUCACAAGCUAAAUCUUCUUUUAAGACUGAUCCCUCUAAGAUAACCUACAAAAAAGCAAUACGAAAGAAGUGAGCGACUCAGAUACUGUGCAAUGAAAGAUAAAUGAAGGCUGCUGAAUUCCUUUCCUGCAGCUACCUGUAUCAGCCCCAGAGGCUGCGUUCUCUCAUUUACUCCGAUGCAACAAACCAGAAGUCAGUGGAGCUGCACCAUUGUAAUUUAAAGAUAAUUUGCCAUCAGAUUAACCCAGUGCCCCACAACUCACUCACUGGCUGCUUUACAGAAGUUCCAGACGACAGCUAGCAAUUCAGGCCCCCGUGUACGUGCCCCCAAAGCCAGCCUUGCAGGAGCUGCUCUGAACAGGCAGUGCUUUCUGCAGCACUCAGGAUUUCAGCAUCCUCCUGCAUCUCUACCUGCCACGUCCUGACACUCCCCUUCCCAGCGACUGUCACCAAGAACCGGUAACAAGAGGCACCCCCCUGGGUAACACAGCAGGAAUCUUGGGGCUGGCUUCCAUUGGAGGGGGUGAUACAGGGCUCAGCUGUCUGUGGGAUCCCACCCGUGCCAUAUGGCUGCACCCACAGGAACAGGAUGAUUUAUUCUACAGAGUUGUUGGUGGAUGCAGCAAAGUAAGGAGCCAGCUUACUGCUUCUUUGCAAUCUAGAUGGACAGCUCCCGAAGAAUCAGGGCAUCCUGGCCAUGAGCACUGGAACCCAUUUCCCCCACCAUCAGUUGCCCCUGCCCUGAAAUUUUCCAUUUUCUAAACAGACCAUGCUCUGCUCUAGCAUUACCUACACACAGACUGCACCAGGGCUGUUCCUCUGACUGAUCCUCAGCAAGAACCGACCUGCUGCACCAUCCCAGAGGAGACCAGACCUGGAAUAGCCCUUCCUGGGGAAAGCACUGGAUGGUGCACAGCAGUAUGUGACCAGGAGAACACAGCCCCAUUUAGCAGCAAAGCCAGAGAGAGAAUUGCACUAGCAGUGGAAUCUAAUGGGCAGCACACAGAACUGGGGUCCAUCUCUCUAGCAGGCACAGCACACUUCACUCAUCAGUAACUUUUUAACCCGCAGAAUCUUUCCUCACCCACAGCUGUACCGACUUCACAAUACAACAUCAGAGAACGCCACCAAUUUGUGCCACCCAGCAACAAACCUGGCAGCGUGUUGGUUCUGGGAAGCAUGCACAACGUAAUGAGAGAAAAACGGGAAAAGCAGGAGCAAGAAGAAAGCAAGGUCUCUGCACAGUCUUGCUAAUCAGAGCAGGAGAGGGUAAGAAUGCAAUCAGUCAGCAGUGCCAGCACCUCGCUAGAGCCUCUCCAGCCUGCAAGAUGGUCAUUAGCUCCCAUGGCACAAAAGCAGCUGGAACAGAACCAACUGAUUGAUCUUGCAGUAAGCAAAAGGCCAAAAAAAUCCCAGGUUAAAACACUCUCCCCCCAUAUCCAUGUUCCAAGCCUUGUGGCUUACAAGGAUGGGGCUUGGGGAAGCUCUCUAGAUCAGGCUAGCAAGUCCUCACAGGACGGAGAAGCCAGGCAUGUGUGCCCCAGCUGUCCCAUGCUGGAGGAUGGAGCAGCCAGUCUAUGGGAUGGAUACGUGCUGGUGAUCCCAAUGCUACUGCAUGGACACACACACACGUGCCUCCUGUCUUCUCUAGGAUAUUCUGGGCACUCCAGCACCUGAGGGAAUUAUGGCAAUCCCACCUCCAAACCUUGGGCAACGACCAAAAAUACCACGAGCAAACCAGCAGUUUGUCCCUUCAGCUUGCAGGAAGGAGGCUGUAAGGAAGAGACAUUAGGGUUUUCUUAUUCCAGGAGAAGGAAUCAGAAUGUGUAUUUUAUGCUAGAGUCCUCAAAGUGGUUUGCUCACUCCAGGUUUAGUACAUAUCUUCCCCCCCCCUACUAAUCUACACAAGCAACUCAUGGUCCCUGAGUGUUUUUCCUAGUGAAUUCAACUGCAUAGCAACAUUCCUCACUGUAAUGAAACGGCUGCUGCCACCUGGACUACAAAGAGGCUAUUGCCUCUCCAUAAUAAAGUGCCAGAUAAUUGACA
rnacentral:lncRNA from 1 species